GGCCCUACAAGGCAGACGGGUUCUGGCAGAUCAUAGAAGCGCCGACCGCCGGUUCGAUUCCGGCUGGGGCCACCA
rnacentral:tRNA from 1 species